AUUGAACGCUGGCGGCAGGCCUAACACAUGCAAGUAGAACGAGUGGCGGACUGGUGAGUUAUUUCUGGGAAACUGCCCGAUGGAGGGGGGUCACUUCUGGAAACUGUCGCUAAUCCCGCAUACCAUCGGAUGAGCCCAGAUGGGAUUGGCUAGUAGGUGGGGUAACGGCUCACCUAGGCGACAGACCCAAGCUGGUCUGAGAGGAUGACCAGCCACACUGGAACUGAGGCACGGUCCAGACUCCGACGGGAGGCAGCAGUGGGGAAUAUUGCACUAGGGGCGCAAGCCUGAUGCAGCCAUGCCGCGUGUAUGAAGAAGGCCUUCGGGUUGGAAAGUACUUUCAGAGAGGAGGCGUUACUCGCAGAAGAAUCACCGGCUAACGCCGUGCCAGCAGCCGCGGUAAUUC
rnacentral:rRNA from 1 species